UGGGGAAUUUUGGACAAUGGGGGAAACCCUGAUCCAGCCAUCCCGCGUGUGCGAUGAAGGCCUUCGGGUUGUAAAGCACUUUUGGCAGGAAAGAAACGUCAUGGGUUAAUACCCCGUGAAACUGACGGUACCUGCAGAAUAAGCACCGGCUAACUACGUGCCAGCAGCCGCGGUAAUACGUAGGGUGCAAGCGUUAAUCGGAAUUACUGGGCGUAAAGCGUGCGCAGGCGGUUCGGAAAGAAAGAUGUGAAAUCCCAGAGCUCAACUUUGGAACUGAACUUUUAACUACCGAGCUAGAGUGUGUCAGAGGGAGGUGGAAUUCCGCGUGUAGCAGUGAAAUGCGUAGAUAUGCGGAGGAACACCGAUGGCGAAGGCAGCCUCCUGGGAUAACACUGACGCUCAUGCACGAAAGCGUGGGGAGCAAACAGG
rnacentral:rRNA from 1 species